rnacentral:rRNA from 1 species
AGAGCGAACGCUGGCGGCAGGCCUAAUACAUGCAAGUCGAACGGACCCUUCGGGGUUAGUGGCGGACGGGUGAGUAACACGUGGGAACGUGCCCUUUGGUUCGGAACAACUCAGGGAAACUUGAGCUAAUACCGAAUGUGCCCUUCGGGGGAAAGAUUUAUCGCCAUUGGAGCGGCCCGCGUCUGAUUAGCUAGUUGGUGAGGUAAAGGCUCACCAAGGCUACGAUCAGUAGCUGGUCUGAGAGGAUGAUCAGCCACACUGGGACUGAGACACGGCCCAGACUCCUACGGGAGGCAGCAGUAGGGAAUCUUGCGCAAUGGGCGAAAGCCUGACGCAGCCAUGCCGCGUGAAUGAUGAAGGUCUUAGGAUUGUAAAAUUCUUUCAGCGGGACGAUAAUGACGGUACCGCAGAAGAAGCCCGGCUAACGUUCGCGCCAGCAGCCGC